rnacentral:rRNA from 1 species
CGUAGGGCGCGAGCGUUGUCCGGAAUUAUUGGGCGUAAAGAGCUCGUAGGCGGCCUGUUGCGUCCGCUGUGAAAGCCCGGGGCUUAACCCCGGGUCUGCAGUGGAUACGGGCAGGCUAGAGGUAGGUAGGGGAGAAUGGAAUUCCCGGUGUAGCGGUGAAAUGCGCAGAUAUCGGGAGGAACACCGGUGGCGAAGGCGGUUCUCUGGGCCUUACCUGACGCUGAGGAGCGAAAGCGUGGGGAGCGAACAGG